rnacentral:rRNA from 1 species
CUGGGUGGCGAGUGGCGGACGGGUGAGGAAUACAUCGGAAUCUACUUUUUCGUGGGGGAUAACGUAGGGAAACUUACGCUAAUACCGCAUACGACCUACGGGUGAAAGCAGGGGAUCUUCGGACCUUGCGCGAUUGAAUGAGCCGAUGUCGGAUUAGCUAGUUGGCGGGGUAAAGGCCCACCAAGGCGACGAUCCGUAGCUGGUCUGAGAGGAUGAUCAGCCACACUGGAACUGAGACACGGUCCAGACUCCUACGGGAGGCAGCAGUGGGGAAUAUUGGACAAUGGGCGCAAGCCUGAUCCAGCCAUACCGCGUGGGUGAAGAAGGCCUUCGGGUUGUAAAGCCCUUUUGUUGGGAAAGAAAUCCAGCUGGCUAAUACCCGGUUGGGAUGACGGUACCCAAAGAAUAAGCACCGGCUAACUUCGUGCCAGCAGCCGCGGUAAUACGAAGGGUGCAAGCGUUACUCGGAAUUACUGGGCGUAAAGCGUGCGUAGGUGGUCGUUUAAGUCCGUUGUGAAAGCCCUGGGCUCAACCUGGGAACUGCAGUGGAUACUGGGCGACUAGAGUGUGGUAGAGGGUAGCGGAUUUCCUGGUGUACAGUGAAAUGCGUAGAGAUCAGGAGGAACAUCCAUGGCGAAGGCGCUACCUGGACCACACUGACACUGAGG